rnacentral:tRNA from 1 species
GGCAGGAUAGCUCAGGGGUAGAGCAGAGGACUCAUAAGCCUUUGGUCGGCGGUUCAAAUCCGCCUCCUGCUACCG